UACGGGGGGGAGCAAGCGUUGUUCGGAUUUACUGGGCGUAAAGGGCGCGUAGGCGGCCUGUUAAGUCGAACGUGAAAUCCCCCGGCUCAACCGGGGAAGUGCAUCUGAAACUGGCGAGCUAGAGUACGAAAGAGGGUCGCGGAAUUCCCGGUGUAGAGGUGAAAUUCGUAGAUAUCGGGGAGGGAACACCGGUGGCGAAGGGCGGCGACCUGGGGUCGAUACUGGACGCUGAGGUGCGAAAAGCGUGGGGGGAGCAAAACAGG
rnacentral:rRNA from 1 species